rnacentral:rRNA from 1 species
CAGCCGCCGCGGUAAUACGGAGGGCGCGAGCGUUGUCCGGAUUCACUGGGCGUAAAGCGGGUGUAGGCGGUUGGGCAAGUCGGACGUGAAAGCCCGGGGCUCAACCCCGGAAGGGCGUCCGAAACUGCUCGACUUGAGGGCGGGAGAGGGGGGUGGAAUUCCCGGUGUAGCGGUGAAAUGCGUAGAUAUCAGGAGGAACACCAGUGGCGAAGGCGGCCCCCUGGCCCGUUCCUGACGCUGAGACCCGAAAGCGGGGGGAGCAAACCGGAUUAGAUCCCCGGGUAGUCCACGCCGUAAACGGUGGGCACUAGGUGUGGGGGGUUAAUCCCUCCGUGCCGAAGCUAACGCACUAAGUGCCCCGCCUGGGGAGUACGGCCGCAAGGUUGAAACUUAAAGGAAUUGGCGGG